GAUGAACGCUGGCGGCGUGCCUAAUACAUGCAAGUCGAGCGAAUGGAUUAAGAGCUUGCUCUUAUGAAGUUAGCGGCGGACGGGUGAGUAACACGUGGGUAACCUGCCCAUAAGACUGGGAUAACUCCGGGAAACCGGGGCUAAUACCGGAUAACAUUUUGAACCGCAUGGUUCGAAAUUGAAAGGCGGCUUCGGCUGUCACUUAUGGAUGGACCCGCGUCGCAUUAGCUAGUUGGUGAGGUAACGGCUCACCAAGGCAACGAUGCGUAGCCGACCUGAGAGGGUGAUCGGCCAGACUGGGACUGAGACACGGCCCAGACUCCUACGGGAGGCAGCAGUAGGGAAUCUUCCGCAAUAGACGAAAGUCUGACGGAGCAACGCCGCGUGAGUGAUGAAGGCUUUCGGGUCGUAAAACUCUGUUGUUAGGGAAGAACAAGUGCUAGUUGAAUAAGCUGGCACCUUGACGGUACCUAACCAGAAAGCCACGGCUAACUACGUGCCAGCCGCCGCGGUAA
rnacentral:rRNA from 1 species